ACGGCUCAGUAACACGUAGUCAACAUACCCAGAGGACGUGGAUAACCUCGGGAAACUGAGGAUAAACCGCGAUAGACCAUAAUGUCUGGAAUGAUUUAUGGUUCAAAUCUAUAUGGCCUCUGGAUUGGACUGCGGCCGAUCAGGCUGUUGGUGAGGUAAUGGCCCACCAAACCUGAAACCGGUACGGGCUCUGAGAGGAGAAGCCCGGAGAUGGGCACUGAGACAAGGGCCCAGGCCCUAUGGGGCGCAGCAGGCGCGAAACCUUUGCAAUAGGCGAAAGCCUGACAAGGUUACUCUGAGUGAUCUCCGCUAAGGAAAUCUUUUGACACCUCUAAAAAUGGUGUAGAAUAAGGGGUGGGCAAGCCUGGUGUCAGCCGCCGCGGUAAUACCAGCACCCCGAGUGGUCGGGACGAUUAUUGGGCCUAAAGCAUCCGUAGCCGGUUCUUUAAGUCCUCCGUUAAAUCCACCUGCUUAACAGAUGGGCUGCGGAGGAUACUAUAGAGCUAGGAGGCGGGAGAGGCAAGCGGUACUCAGUGGGUAGGGGUAAAAUCCGUUGAUCCAUUGAAGACCACCAGUGGCGAAGACGGCUUGCCAGAACGCGCUCGACGGUGAGGGAUGAAAGCUGGGGGAGCAAACCGGAUUAGAUACCCGGGUAGUCCCAGCUGUAAACGAUGCAGACUCGGUGAUGAACAGGCUUCGUGCCUGUUCAGUGCCGCAGGGAAGCCGUUAAGUCUGCCGCCUGGGGGAGUACGGUCGCAAGACUGAAACUUAAAGGAAUUGGCGGGGGAG
rnacentral:rRNA from 1 species